rnacentral:rRNA from 1 species
UACGUAGGGUGCAAGCGUUGUCCGGAAUUAUUGGGCGUAAAGAGCUCGUAGGCGGCUUGUCGCGUCGGCUGUGAAAACCUGGGGCUCAACCCCGGGCCUGCAGCCGAUACGGGCAAGCUAGAAUUCGGUAGGGGAGACUGGAAUUCCUGGUGUAGCAGUGAAAUGCGUAGAUAUCAGGAGGAACACCCGUGGCGAAGGCGGCUUCCUGGGGCCAUCCUGACACUGAGAAGCGAAAGCUAGGGGAGCGAACGGG